AGUUAGUAAAGCAGCUCGAGGAGGAGAAAACUGAGGUUUCCCGCAGCAGCCGAUUUAACUUUGGCUUUGGGAGAUGAUCCAAUCAAAACUAAUCCAGAAGUUGCUCAACAUGUAACUGAGGAGU